UACAGAGGUCCCGAGCGUUGUUCGGAUUUAUUGGGCGUAAAGGGUGCGUAGGCGGCGGAGUAAGUUGGGUGUGAAAUCCCGAGGCUCAACCUCGGAAUGGCAUUCAAUACUGCUUCGCUCGAGUACUGGAGAGGAGGCUGGAAUUUACGGUGUAGCAGUGAAAUGCGUAGAUAUCGUAAGGAAGGCCGGUGGCGAAAGCGAGCCUCUGGACAGUUACUGACGCUGAUGCACGAAGGCCAGGGGAGCAAACCGGG
rnacentral:rRNA from 1 species